rnacentral:rRNA from 1 species
UNAACGUUGUGAANUAGGUGUUGGUCGGAUUGACCCGAUCAGUGCCGCAGCUAACGCAUUAAGUUCACCGCCUGGGGACUACGGCCGCAAGGUUAAAACUCAAAGGAAUAGGCGGGGGCCCGCACAAGCAGCGGAGCGUGUGGUUUAAUUCGAGGCAACGCGAAGAACCUUACCUGGGUUUGACAUGCAUAGGAAAUUUUGGUGAAAGCCAGAACCUCCCGCCAAGGGACUUAUGCGCAGGUGGUGCAUGGCUGUCGUCAGCUCGUGCCGUGAGGUGUUGGGUUAAGUCCCGCAACGAGCGCAACCCCCUGUCCUUAGUUGAAUGUUCUAGGGAGACUGCCGGGCGAAACCCGGAGAAAGGUGGGGAUGACGUCAAGUCCGCAUGCCCUUUAUAUCCAGGGCUACACACACGCUACAAUGGCCGGUACAACGGGUCCCGACACGGCGACGUGAAGGCAAUCCCUUAAAGCCGGUCUCAGUUCGGAUUGCAGGCUGCAACUCGCCUGCAUGAAGUCGGAGUUGCUAGUAACCGCAGGUCAGCACACUGCGGUGAAUACGUUCCCGGGCCUUGCACUCACCGCCCGUCACAUCACUUGAAUCUGUUGCUCCCGAAGUCGCUGGCCGAACCCGCAAGGGACGGAGGCGCCGAAGGAGUGGCCGGUGAGAGGGGUGAAGUCGUAACAAGGUACC